GUGUGUCGGGUCACCUAAUCCUGAGGAGCUCCUAGGGAAAAGAAGGGACAGGCCAAACGGCAACAACGAGGACAAGAAUUGAGGUUUUCGGGUCUAAGUCCGGAUAAUUUUACAGGUCAACAGCCACUUCUGGGCUAGGCGCCGGGCUAACUAUGCCCCGACUACAGUGUACUCUGCCGGAGACCAGCAGCAGUAAGGGCCUGGAACACCCCGAGGAGCGGUGGCGAAGGCGAGCCUGAUGGCGGUGCCUCUCAACGCCGCGCGCACUGGCAGCCUUACGACCCCAAAACAGGUGGGUCUUAAUAGCCCGGAACGGACUCACCGGCGUAUAUAAGAAAGCGUUGGCGGCGUCCGAGGAUGACGAGUUAUGGUGUCCAAAACGUAUCUCUGGGUUGUAAGAAGGUGCGUAUAGGUACGCAUGCCAAUAUCCAGAU